ACUCUCUCUCUCCCAAAUAGCCUUCCUUGUUACCGGAGAUUAUGAGGAGAAGACAAACCACCAUCGGCGGCAACGGCAGCAGCAAUGGCAGCGGCAAAGCUGGAAAAUCUCCUUAAGGUGCACGAUUUUCGCCUUUGAAGCACAAUAGUAGCAGCUUUCGCGGUGUUCUUGUCAAGGAAUAAUAUCCCCAAGGGGGAGCAACUGAAAAAGGGCAGAUAGAGAUAGUGAAGAUCUAGACAGUACUUAAGAAGAACAUUGUAUUGUUGUCGAUGUUCUACGAGUCUUUUGUUAUCAACAAUUGAAACUUUAACUUUUAAAGUGUUGAACUGUAAAACUUAUGUAAUUGGGUUAAAACAUUUUGCUAUUAUGGUUAUUAUUAGCUUACUGGA